rnacentral:tRNA from 1 species
CUACUGGUGGUCCAGUGGUUAGGAUGUGGCACUUUCACCGCUAGGGCCUGGGUUCAAUCCCUGGUCAGGGAA